UGGGAGGGGGGCUUGCUCCCGAUGGCGGUGGAUCAGUCGAUAUACACGUUGACUGAUCCACUGCCAUCGGGAGCAAGCCCCCUCCCAC
rnacentral:antisense_RNA from 1 species